rnacentral:lncRNA from 10 species
AUCAGUGGUUUCCGCUUUUCCGUCUUCCUGAUUCUCUCUUUGCCAGCUGCCAUCCAAAUCAACCCUGAGGAUUGGGAAGGAACUAUACAUACCAGGAGGCAAGGAGCACUGGGGGCCCUCCUGGAACUGCCUGUCACAGCGUCCUCAAAGGUUUUCACUCUCCUAGGAUGACCCAGGUAUAGAAUCUGCCCCUAUGGUUCGGCUCCACCCUCUCACCUGUCUCUUGAGAGCAUUGUGAAAUUCUGAGACACAGCAAGGACAGAAACAGAGGGCAUGGAAGAUGCUUUCAGAUCAUCUUUGUAAAUGGUAGUCUUUUGACUAUUUUAAUAACAGCCAGCAGCAAAGGAAUUUUGAGAAUAUCAAGUGCAGCAGCCAUCUUUUGACAAGUCAUGAGGAUAAAAGCCAACACACUCACCAUGGCAAGCAAAGAAACAGAAAAACCCUGCACGUCCGAUGACAUAACUGAGCAGUGAGGCAUAGUUCAGAGAGAGAGACUCUGGAGGAUGAGAGACCAUGAAGGGCAACAGAGAAAGACCCAGCCAACCCAGAAAACCUCCUGUGGAGAAUAAGCCUUUGUUGGAGAGAAGAAACCAAUGCUAAGAUGCGCCUGCUUCAGUCGGAUAUAAUUUAUCGCUUAUCUUCAAGAAAAAGAAACUCAAGUAACAAAAAAGGUAAAGAAGUCUCAUUCUCGCACAAUCUUUAGAACCUUGAAGCUGAACCACAGGAUCAGUGAGGUUGCUUCUUAAUGCAGGCCCUGAUGUUACUAAACUUGAACCUACGUCUCUUCUCAGAAUCUUUCAUAUUCAGUUUUUCAGACAAAAUGUAGUGAAGGAUAUGAUGUUUCCUGUAUAAUUAAUGCUCAGUAAAUGCUGUUGACUAUGUAAAACAACCUGUUUAGCACUUCUGGGCUGCUAAGCCCCUCUAACCUCCGUACAACAAAAACUUGUUUCCUGUGAGUCCUACAGGGAGUCGAGAAAUGUGAAGGAAAAACAUAUUUUCCUUUUGUAGAAAUUCCCACAAUUUAAACUCUUCCAAUUAGCACCUAAUUGGCAGGAUGCAAUUUGAAAUCAUUGAAUUAAACUGCUUUAAAAAAA